AUGGCCGGACAACAGGAGGAAGGAGCUGACGGUGGUCAUAGUUUGCCUCUACCUUGCUGUGUGCCAAAGACAGAUCCAGAAGAUAUGACGGGCAAAGCUUGCUGCAUGUGUAGCACCGCUAGUUGCUCCCUACUUGGCAUAUUAUCUUCACUUGGUGAUGUGAAAGUUAGCUACUGUGAUCAAGGAAAUAGCAUGUAUCUUUGUGGUUUGUUCCUGCUGUUGAUCGGCGUUGCUGUGCUUAAGCUGCUGGAGGGGAAAGAGCAGAGGAUCCGAGAGGCGAAGCAACCGAAGGAGCCGGAGAACAUGACCCCUGCCUAUGUACGGCCAUAUCCCCCAUGGCUUCUACAAGGACCAGAUGCAAGGUUUCUUUUAGGAGCUUGGGGCUAUUAA
rnacentral:rRNA from 1 species